rnacentral:rRNA from 1 species
GAUGAACGCUAGCGGCAGGCCUAAUACAUGCAAGUCGGACGGGAUUUGGGAGCUUGCUCCUAAUGAGAGUGGCGCACGGGUGCGUAACACGUAUGUAACCUACCUUAAUCAGGGGGAUAGCCUCUCGAAAGAGAGAUUAACACCGCAUAAUAUAUUUUUAUGGCAUCGUAGAAAUAUCAAAUAUUUAUAGGAUUAAGAUGGGCAUGCGGAACAUUAGCUAGUCGGUAAGGUAACGGCUUACCAAGGCUACGAUGUUUAGGGGAUCUGAGAGGAUGACCCGCCACACUGGUACUUAGACACGGACCAGACUCCUACGGGAGGCAGCAGUAAGGAAUAUUGGUCAAUGGGCGCAAGCCUGAACCAGCCAUGCCGCGUGCAGGAAGACGGCCCUAUGGGUUGUAAACUGCUUUUGUACCGGAAUAAACCCUUUUACGUGUAGAAGGCUGAAUGUACGGUAAGAAUAAGGAUCGGCUAACUCCUUGCCAGCCGCCGCGGUAA